rnacentral:rRNA from 1 species
GACGAACGCUGGCGGCGUGCUUAACACAUGCAAGUCGAACGCUGAAGCCUAGCUUUUGUUGGGUGGAUGAGUGGCGAACGGGUGAGUAACACGUGAGUAACCUGCCCCCUUCUUUGGGAUAACGCCCGGAAACGGGUGCUAAUACUGGAUAUUCACUGAUCUUCGCAUGGGGGUUGGUGGAAAGGUUUUUUCUGGUGGGGGAUGGGCUCGCGGCCUAUCAGCUUGUUGGUGGGGUGAUGGCCUACCAAGGCUUUGACGGGUAGCCGGCCUGAGAGGGUGACCGGUCACAUUGGGACUGAGAUACGGCCCAGACUCCUACGGGAGGCAGCAGUGGGGAAUAUUGCACAAUGGGCGAAAGCCUGAUGCAGCGACGCCGCGUGAGGGAUGGAGGCCUUCGGGUUGUAAACCUCUUUCGCUCAUGGUCAAGCCGCAACAUUGGUUGUGGUGAGGGUAGUGGGUAAAGAAGCGCCGGCUAACUACGUGCCAGCAGCCGCGGUAAUACGUAGGGCGCGAGCGUUGUCCGGAAUUAUUGGGCGUAAAGGGCUUGUAGGCGGUUGGUCGCGUCUGCCGUGAAAUCCUCUGGCUUAACUGGGGGCGUGCGGUGGGUACGGGCUGACUUGAGUGCCGUAGGGGAGACUGGAACUCCUGGUGUAGCGGUGGAAUGCUCAGAUAUC